rnacentral:rRNA from 1 species
AAAACUUGGUUACUUGGACUUAGAUUGAAAGGAUAAGGCCGCAGAUCAGUUUGGGCAGCCACAGAUGUCCUGUGUGUGCAGACGGGACACACACGGAGUUUUCCAGGGUUUUGCUGACGGACACCCACGGACGUCCUGUGGUUACUGAAACAAACACCCCACAGGACAUCACACACAAACCUUGGUAACUCGUGACCCUUGGAAACUCGUGCCUUUUGGGACAUGACCACCCGUUUAGCCCAACAGCCCAGUCUAUGUUGCAAUUCGAACCGACCAUCUAACCGACCAGCAUCUAGGUUAGCGGUUUGGUUAUGACCGGCCAGGUCUAGGGAUGUGUCCCUUGGACUGAACAAACACAACCCUUCGUGUAUAAUCAGAAAGAAGAGAAAGGGCCGGAUAGAAACAAGAAGAGGAGAAACGGUUAGGUCUAAUGGACCGACCAGAGCCGCGGUGCGAUCACAAGGACCUUCCGUUUCGGUUGAUGCGAGCGAUAGCCCACCACGUACGUUUGAACCGUGUCAGGUUCUCCAUGCUCUUCUCCUACUCUAGGUCUCCCAUACUUGAUCAGAGGUUGCUUCACAAACGAUCAGAUCGCCCGAAACCUAACCACACACAAUUNNNNNNNNNNNNNNNNNNNNNNNNNGGCCUUGCUUUGGCCGGAAACUCUCUCUUUCUUUCUUUCUCUCUCUCUAUGAUUUUUCUGAGUAUUUUACUCUGGAAUUGGAUGAUUGAAAUCGACAGAGAGGACCCCAUAUUUAUAGAAAACGAGGGGGUAAGUCUUGCCCCACGAACAGGCAUGACUGGCCAGCGGAUGGGCACAAUCGGCCAAGGGUUACACCCUCUCGGCCACAUGCGUCCCUUCGCCAAUACCGCAUGGGAUUGGGUGGGACAGAGGCCUAAGGCCUUACCCAAUCCCUCUGGACUUAGCCCACGGCCUUGUCCCAAGCCCCAACGGUCCAUGGCCUCAUGGCCGGACCCCCAUGUCCCGCCACCAGCCCGGACCCGGACCAUCGGACCGAAACCUGAACAGUCCGUCUAGCUGAGAUUAGCUGACUCCCAGCUGUCUCAGCUGAGUGGGCUAGUAGCUCAGCUAGGGGAGCUGACUUAGGAGUGGCCGAGCUGGAGUGGGCUUAACCUAACUCCGUUGAGCUGGCCGAGCUACUUGUUCCAUCCGUCCAGCUACCGUCUUACUCGUCCUAGCUGACUCUCGACUUGUAUAAGGUUAAGUCUAAGUUUCCUUACGUCCUUAACCUUCUUAUCUGGCCAUGGAACACUUGUCUUGAUGUCCUAAGACUGACUAGUACGUUUCCUCGAACCAUGGCCGUCCCAAUGAUCCUAUUCAGGAUCCGGGAUGUUACAACGUCGGCGGGAAUUUCGGAAAGAGUUAUCUUUUCUGUUUAACAGCCUGCCCACCCUGGAAACGGCUCAGCCGGAGGUAGGGUCCAGCGGCUGGAAGAGCACCGCACGUCGCGUGGUGUCCGGUGCAUUCUCAGCGGCCCCUGAAAAUCCGGAGAACCGAAUGCCGCUCACGCCCGUUCGUACUCAUAACCGCAUCAGGUCUCCAAGGUGAACAGCCUCUGGUCGAUGGAACUAUGUAGGCAAGGGAAGUCGGCAAAAUGGAUCCGUAACUUCGGGAAAAGGAUUGGCUCUGAGGGCUGGGCUCGGGGGUCCCAGUUUCGAACCUGUCGACUGUUGGCGGGCUGCUUGAGCUGCUAACUUGGCGAGAGUGGACCACCUCGUGUCGGUCGGGGGACGGACUGGGAACGGCUCUUUCGGGAUCUUUCCUAAGAGCCAACACAUAACUGGUACGGAUAAGGGGAAUCUGUCUGUUUUAUUAAAACAAAACUAUGACUCUCUUAAGGUAGCCAAAUGCCUCGUCAUCUAAUUAGUGAUUCGCAUGAAUGGAUUAACGAGAUUCCCUCUGUCCCUGUCUAAUAUCCAGCGAAACCACAGCCAAGGGAACGGGCUUGGCAAAAUCAGCGGAGAAAGAAGACCACUACUUUUAACGUUAUUUUACUUACUCCGUGAAUCGGAUGGGUAACAACCCCUCCUUUUAGACCCAAGACUCGCUUCGGCGGGUCGUUCCGGGCGGAGGACAUUGUCAGGUGGGGAGUUUUGCUGGGGCGGCACAUCUGUUAAAAUAUAACGCAGGUGUCCUAAGAUGAGCUCAACAAGAACAGAUAUCUCGUGUGGAACAAAAGGGUAAAAGCUCGUUUGAUUCUGAUUUUCAGUACGAAUACGAACCGUGAAAGCGUGGCAGCCAAGCGUUCAUAGCGACGUUGCUUUUUGAUCCUUCGAUGUCGGCUCUUCCUAUCAUUAUGAAGCAGAAUUCACCAAGUGUUGGAUUGUUCACCCACCAAUAGGGAACGUGAGCUGGGUUUAGACCGUCGUGAGACAGGUUAGUUUUACCAUACUGAUGCCCGCGUCGCAAUAGUAAUUCAACCUAGAAUGAGAGGAACCAUUGAUUCGCACAAUUCGUCAUCGCGCUUGGUUGAAAAGCCAGUGGCGCGAAGCUACCCUGCGCUGGAUUAUGACUGAACGCCUCUAAGUCAGAAUCUGGGCUAAAAGCGAGCACGCGCCCGCCGCCCAAUUGCCGACCCUUAGUAGGAGCUUCGGCUCCCAAAGGCACGUGUCGUUGGCUAAGUCCGUUCGGCGGAAGCGCUGUUCGGAACGCCUUGAAUUAUAAUUACCACUGAGCGGCGGGUAGAAUCCUUUGCAGAUGACUUAAAUACGCGACGGGGUAUUGUAAGUGGCAGAGUGGCCUUGCUGUCACGAUCCACUGAGAUUCAGCCCUUUGUCACUAAGAUUCGACCCUCCCCC